GACGAACGCUGGCGGCGUGCUUAACACAUGCAAGUCGAACGGAAAGGCCCUGCUCUUGUUGGGUGGUCGAGUGGCGAACGGGUGAGUAACACGCGAGUAACCUGCACUUGAAUUUGGGAUAACUUCAGGAAACUGGGGCUAUUACCGGAUAGGAGCUCCUGCUGCAUGGGGGGGGUUGGAAAGUUUCGGCGGUUGGGGAUGGUCUGGCGGCUUAUCAGCUUGUUGGUGGGGUAGGGGCUGACAAAGGCUGCGACGGGUAGCCGGCCUGAGAGGGUAGCCGGCGACCAGGGGCCUACGGGAGGCACCAGAAGGGUAUGGGACGCAGUGGGCGGGAGUCUGGCACAACGGCGGGAAGCGAGAGAUAGCAGUGCCCGGUGCGUGAUGAAGGCUUUCUGGUGAAAAACCGCUUUCGCCGGUGACGAGGCGAGAGUGACGGUAAUGGGUAAGGAAGCACCGGCUAACUACGUG
rnacentral:rRNA from 1 species